UCCUGCCUCUCUUUAAAUGUAAAGCUGCCUCUGCUGCACCUGUGACGUUUGCCGCCUGCCGUGCAAUGCCAGUGCGCACUGGGCAUCAAAAGCGCAGAUAGAGGCAAAACAAUGUCACAAAAAAGGACAUAUCCUUCAGGUGCAGAAAAAAGGAAGAAGAAGAAAGUGGAAGAGGAGAAAAAAUGCCACGAUAAAGGAGCAUUGUUAAAAUACUUUGGAGGCACAGAAUCAGCCCAGAGCCAGUCCACAUCCUCAGGCUCAACUGUGAGUGAUGAAUCAGCUAGCUAGCAGCUAGCUGCUAAGCUAACGAAGCUAGCGCGGAGAAAGGCGUCGCUGGGCGCCGGUCAGAAGGAGUCUACUCCUGCACACCGUGACCAGGACUUCUCGGAAGACAGCAGGAACUUCACUCGGUGACAGAAAACACCGUGAGUAUGGCUUCCUGCGCGUCUUGCACCUUACUCACGGAGAGGCUGGCUCUGCUAGAGGGCCGUGUCCGCCAGUUAGAGCAGAGUAAUCUCGUAACUUUAGAUGUUGCGGACACAUCUGCUAGCGUUAGCUGUAGCGAGCUAACUAGCCCAGCCUGUAGCAGUCCUAAGCGGCCUACAAGCUACGGUGUACCGGUUGAGACGCAUAAUAGAUUUAGUUCUUUAGCUAGUCCUACACCCCAGUCUACCGGGCACCACACCUUAGUCAUAGGGGACUCCAUCACCCGAAACAUAAAGCUUAGCAAACCAGCCACAAUUAAGUGCAUCCCGGGGGCCCGAGCACCUGACAUUGAGGCUAAUCUUAGGGAGCUAACUCGCAACAGGCCUAGUAAACACGUACGACAGGCUAAUCGCACCACUAGUUAUGCGAAUAUAGUUGUACACGUUGGCUCCAAUGACACUAGAAUGAGACAGUCAGAGAUUACAAAGAGAAACAUAGCCAGGACUUGUGAUCUCGCUAGAAAGAUGUCCAGGCAUCGAGUAAUUGUCUCUGGCCCCCUGCCUGCGAGAGGCAAUGAUGAGAGAUAUAGCAGAUUAGUCUAGCUUAACAAGUGGCUGGCUAGCUUCUGUAGACAACAGGGACUAACGUUUAUUGAUAAUUGGCCCUCUUUCUGGGGCAAACCAGGCUUGCUGAUGAGGGACGGCCUUCACCCUAACCAGGAAGGCGCCAUCAUCCUGUCUAAGAAUAUAGACUACUGUUUAAGUCACAUUUGACUAACUACACUAGAGCAAGCCCGGUCACAGGCAAUUACAGAGCCUGCUAGUCCGGGUGAGGAGUCAGUUAAGCUAGAACUAGCCAGCACCAGGCUGGAUAAUUCCUGUACGCAUAGCAAUUUUCUUAGAAUAACACACAACUCACAUAAUGUGUUUUCUGUUGUGAAUGUGUCCGGGGUAGAUAUGCAUUCUACUGAGGUGGCAAAUCAUGAUGCGUUCAGUCGAUCGCAGCAUCAAGUAAACAAUCUGAAAAUUCCCGUCGUAUCAAUUCCUAGAUAUGGUCGAAACUAUUUAAAGUGCACUACGUAUAAUAAACGCAACAUUAUUAAUAUUUCUACUACGGAUAAUUUAAACAAAAACUCAUCAAAACAGCCCAAUACUUAUAAUAUGGGCUUUUUAAACAUAAGAUCAUUGUCUCCCAAAACGUUAUUAGUUAAUGAGGUCAUUAGAGACAACAAUCUUAACGUCAUUGGUCUUAGCGAAACCUGGCUCAAACUAGACAAAUUUUUUGCGCUAAAUGAGGCAUCUCCUCCUAACUAUACGAAUGCGCAUAUUGCCCGCCCCCUUAAAAGGGGUGGGGGGGGUCGCACUAAUAUACAAUGAAAACUUUAACCUUACCCCUAACCUAAAUAAUAAAUACAAAUCGUUUGAGGUGCUUACUAUGAGGUCUGUCGCACCGCUGCCUCUCGAUAUGGCUGUUAUCUACCGCCCCCCAGGGCCCUACUCGGACUUUAUUAAUGAAUUCUCAGAGUUCGUUGCUGAUCUAGUGACGCACGCAGACAAUAUAAUCAUAAUGGGGGACUUUAAUAUCCAUAUGAAUAACCCAUCGGACCCUCAGUGCGUGGCGCUCCAGACUAUAAUUGAUAGCUGUGGUCUUACACAAAUAAUAAAUGAACCUACGCAUCGCAACGGCAAUACGAUAGAUCUAGUGCUGGUCAGGGGUGUCACCACCUCCAAAGUUAUGGUACUCCCGUAUACUA